rnacentral:rRNA from 1 species
GACGAACGCUGGCGGCGUGCCUAAUACAUGCAAGUCGAGCGAUCAAGCUUGGUGCUUGCUCCAAUUUGAAUAGCGGCGGACGGGUGAGUAACGCGUGGGGAAUCUGCCUUUGAGCGGGGGACAACAUUUGGAAACGAAUGCUAAUACCGCAUAAUAACUUUAAACAUAAGUUUUAAGUUUGAAAGAUGCAAUUGCAUCACUCAAAGAUGGUCCCGCGGUGUAUUAGCUAGUUGGUGAGGUAAAGGCUCACCAAGGCGAUGGUACAUAGCCGACCUGAGAGGGUGAUCGGGCAAAUUGGGACCGGGACAACGGCCAAGACCCCUCGGGGGGGAGCCGGAGGGGAUUUUUGGGCAAGGGGGGGAGGCUGAACGAAGCAAGCCGGGGGGGUGGAGAAGGUUCUCGGGUCGUAAAAAUCUGUUGGUAGGGAAGAAAGAUGGGGAGAGUGGAAAGCUCAUGAAGUGACGGUAACUACCCAGAAAGCGACGGCUAACUACGUG